GGGACUGUAGCUCAGGUGGUCUGAGCGGCCGUUUGUUAAACGGAGGGUGCUGGUUCGACUCCAGCCGGUCCCG
rnacentral:tRNA from 1 species